AAUGUCCAAUGUCACAAAUUGGGUAUGAAAUGAAAGGUUCGUAGUCAACAUUUCAUUUCAUACCCAAUUUGUGACAUUGGACAU
rnacentral:pre_miRNA from 1 species